rnacentral:ribozyme from 1 species
GGUACAGGCGAAUCUGUCCCUACCUCCACGCGGUACCGGCCGGAAACUAUGAGCAACCUUAGGGAAGAUCGGGUAACCAACCCCGGUGGGACCUUUGGUCGUAGGCUGACAGGGAAGG